rnacentral:rRNA from 1 species
GACGUAGGGCGCGAGCGUUGUCCGGAUUAUUGGGCGUAAAGAGCUCGUAGGCGGCUUGUCGCGUCGACUGUGAAAACCCGUGGCUCAACCAUGUGGUCUGCAGUCGAUACGGGCAGGCUAGAAUUCGGUAGGGGAGACGUGGAAUUCCUGGUGUAGCGGUGAAAUGCGCAGAUAUCAGGAGGAACACCGGUGGCGAAGGCGGGUCUCUGGGCCGAGUAUUGACGCUGGAGGAGCGAAAGCGUGGGGAGCGAACAGG